GGACAGAUCUGAUAUCGUGUUUCGGCCCAAAAUUGCUUGCCGCUAUACAGUAUCAAAUAGAUUUGCCCAGAUUAAACGUGUUCUCAUAGUCCACUUUGUUAGUUUAUCGU
rnacentral:snoRNA from 1 species